rnacentral:rRNA from 1 species
CCGCGGUAAACCAGCUCUUCAGUGGUCGGGAUAAUUAUUGGGCUUAAAGUGUCCGUAGCCGGUUUAGUAAGUUCCUGGUAAAACCGGGCAGCUUAACUGUCCGUAUGCUAGGAAUACUGCUAUGCUAGAGGGCGGGAGAGGUCUGAGGUACUACAGGGGUAGGGGUGAAAUCUUAUAAUCCUUGUAGGACCACCAGUGGCGAAAGCGUCAGACUGGAACGCGCCUGACGGUGAGGGACGAAAGCCAGGGGAGCGAACCGGAUUAGAUACCCGGGUAGUCCUGGCCGUAAACGAUGCAUACUAGGCAAUGGUGCGGCCAUGAGCCGCAUCAGUACCGUAGGGAAACCGUUAAGUGUGCCGCCUGGGAAGUACGGUCGCAAGGCUAAAACUUAAAGGAAUUGGCGGGGGAGCACCACAAGGGGUGAAGCCUGCGGUUCAAUUGGACUCAACGCCGGGAAACUUACCAGGGGAGACAGCAGAAUGACAGUCAGGUUGACGACCUUACUCGACGAGCUGAGAGGAGGUGCAUGGCCGUCGCCAGUUCGUGCUGUGAGGUAUCCUGUUAAGUCAGGCAACGAACGAGAUCCGCGCCUUUAUUUGCCAUCAAGAAGUCACGACUUCGUUGGGAACACUAAAGGGACCGCCGUCGAUAAGACGGAGGAAGGAGCGGGCAAAGGCAGGUCAGUAUGCCCCGAAACCCCUGGGCUACACGCGGGCUGC